rnacentral:lncRNA from 1 species
AGCACAAGUAGAAGCCGGGGAGACCAUCAGACUGCCUUAGCGUGGUAGUUAGGAGCUUAGAGACCACCAAAAGGACUCAGUCUAUAAUUCUGUGGCACAGUGAGCAGCAUGCCAGCUAUAGACAGGUUUGAGGCAAAGGUGUUGUCAGAGGUGGAAAAAGUAAUGGCAAGGUUGGGGCAGGAGCUUCAUAGUGAAGGUCAAGUUUGGUAGUAUCAGAAAAAUAGGUAAGGGGUGAGGGUGUUAGUCAUUUUUUCUAUUUGGAGACAACAGCUGCUUCCUGUUUCAAAAAAGAUAUUUUUUUGUUUUUGUUUUUAAUUUAAUCUUUACCACUCUUGGAGGGUGACCCCUGAGCUCUCCCUCAUCGACCAACUCGGUCUCCAUCAGCAAGUACUUGGUUCGUCAGUCCUGAGCUGAAUGGCUUGUGUGAGGAGGUUACAGAGGACAGAAAAGAGGUGCGCCUGAGAAGCGCCGCACUCAGAAGCGCCACGGUGGAAUCUGGAACCGGACUGUGGGUCCUGGGAACUCACAGGCGGAAGUCACCCAGCCG